GAUGAACGCUGGCGGCGUGCCUAAUACAUGCAAGUCGAGCGAACAGACGAGGAGCUUGCUCCCCUGACGUUAGCGGCGGACGGGUGAGUAACACGUGGAUAACCUACCUAUAAGACUGGGAUAACUUCGGGAAACCGGAGCUAAUACCGGAUAACAUGUUGAACCGCAUGGUUCAACAGUGAAAGACGGUCUUGCUGUCACUUAUAGAUGGAUCCGCGCCGCAUUAGCUAGUUGGUAAGGUAACGGCUUACCAAGGCAACGAUGCGUAGCCGACCUGAGAGGGUGAUCGGCCACACUGGAACUGAGACACGGUCCAGACUCCUACGGGAGGCAGCAGUCGGGAAUCUUCCGCAAUGGGCGAAAGCCUGACGGAGCAACGCCGCGUGAGUGAAGAAGGUCUUCGGAUCGUAAAGCUCUGUUAUUAGGGAAGAACAAAUGUGUAAGUAACUAUGCACGUCUUGACGGUACCUAAUCAAAAAGCCCCGGCUAACUACGUG
rnacentral:rRNA from 1 species